UGGCAGUCGUAGUCCGUCUGUCCUUUCAGUUAGGACUACAAAAGUCAUGCAGGAGUCUGUGUGGGAGUAAAUGUGCUUCAUGAGGGAUGCUACGCCGAACAACGCCAACAAUUGCAUGUUUCGAAUGGGCUGCAGCUUUCCCUCCCCCUUGGUCUUUUUCUCCUUGUCCUUCGGCCGAUGAACCUGGCGAAGAUCUGACUUGCUGGAUCGCAUCCUGAGAGGCCUCUUGCUGUCCUGGGCUACACGAGUACACAGCUCCGGAUAAUCCAGGUAAACAGCACGCAGCAACCAGCGAAGGCCUCGUAGAGUCU